UCCUACGGGGGGCAGCAGUGAGGAAUAUUGGUCAAUGGGCGAGAGCCUGAACCAGCCAAGUCGCGUGAGGGAAGACGGUCCUAUGGAUUGUAAACCUCUUUUGCCGGGGAGCAAAAAGCGGUACGUGUACCGCAUCGAGAGUACCCGGAGAAAAAGCAUCGGCUAACUCCGUGCCAGCAGCCGCGGUAAUACGGAGGAUGCGAGCGUUAUCCGGAUUUAUUGGGUUUAAAGGGUGCGCAGGCGGCGAGUUAAGUCAGCGGUAAAAUUUCGGUGCUCAACCCCAACGAGCCGUUGAAACUGGCUUG
rnacentral:rRNA from 1 species